CCCGAUAGUAAAAGAGCUUAAAACGGACUUAAAAUCCGUUGAUCUUUUGAUCGUGCGGGUUCGAUUCCCGCUGUCGGUA
rnacentral:tRNA from 1 species